GAGACUGUACUUCUCAGGAUCAUUUCUGUAGUACGGUUUCCCGGUGGGGGUUCCACCUUGCUCGCCAAAGCACCCGCGAUGACGAGCAGAAGCGUCGUCCCCUGAGCGUGAAGUUCGCCGGGGGCGUCGCGCCAGUUUUGGUGAUCGCCCGGCGUUGAGGACCGUCGGCUGGCCCCCCAGGGGGUCGGCCGCGGGGGCGACGCUCUCUGAGCGGG
rnacentral:snoRNA from 1 species